CCUACGGGAGACAGCAGUAGGGAAUAUUGCUCAAUGGGGGAAACCCUGAAGCAGCAACGCCGCGUGGAGGAUGAAGGUUUUCGGAUUGUAAACUCCUUUUGUUAGAGAAGAUAAUGACGGUAUCUAACGAAUAAGCACCGGCUAACUCCGUGCCAGCAGCCGCGGUAAUACGGAGGGUGCAAGCGUUACUCGGAAUCACGGGGCGUAAAGAGCGCGUAGGCGGGAUAGCAAGUCAGAUGUGAAAUCCUAUGGCUUAACCAUAGAACUGCAUUUGAAACUGUUAUUCUAGAGUGUGGGAGAGGUAGGUGGAAUUCUUGGUGUAGGGGUAAAAUCCGUAGAGAUCAAGAGGAAUACUCAUUGCGAAGGCGACCUGCUAGAACAUAACUGACGCUGAUGCGCGAAAGCGUGGGGAGCAAACAGGAUUAGAUACCCCUGUAGUC
rnacentral:rRNA from 1 species